GCAAGUGAAUCAGCAUCAGCUAUUUCAGGAGAAUUUGUAGGGAGCCCAGAAAGUCUCUCAUGGGGAUGAAAUUAUCUUCAGGCUAUUUUGCCUUUCUUUCACUAUGCAAACUCUUUUACCUCAACUCAGUGGUCCUCAAGUUAGACAUAGUCAAGGAGAUAGAAUGUAUCCUAUUCCAUCCUAUGAAGGUCCACAUAACGAAAUGAGACGAUCACCUCCAUAUGUAGAGACUAGAAACCCAUGCCCUUAUUCAGAAGAUGGAAGCCCAUGGCUAGAAUCUACUAAUUGGGACGUGGGUGUCCCGUCUGGAUCACCACAUCAGACUGAAGAGCAAGAAGAGGAGGAGAAAGUCUGCUUGUGCUCUAGUUCCUGGAAAUGUUCCAUUUAAAUUCCAAUAUUUCUUUCCCUUCUUCUCCAAAUAUCAGUUCUACCUGUAGUUAUUUUUCUUUUGUUUUCCCUGCACCAAAAGAACUGUUCCAAAAUGAAAUAUGUUGAAGACAGAAAUUUAUCGUUCUCUCUAAUGAGUCUGUUCAAAGUGGAACUUCUGAGAUUGUAAGGAAAUGGUUCAAAAUUGCUAGUUGGGCCUCCUCCCCACCUAUGAAUACAUAUUUUUUUUUAAAAGCCAAAGAACUUUAAGCUUUGAUUUUCUAAGGAGUUAAGGAGAAUUGACGAAGACAACCCAGAAGAAAGUCCUCCUCUCUGACAAGAAUGAGAAGCCUAGAAUGGAUAAUAAUACUAACUUCUAAAAAUUUGUUUGGAAUGCAUAUACCUUUCCUUGUUGUUCUUGAAUGAAGAUGUCAGCAUAGAACGUUGUGAUUGGAUUUAACCAAGUAGGGAAGGUCUGUUAUCUACCAAAAAAUUUAAAUUAAACGUGGAAAAUAUUUUUGGGUUUUUGUCUUUGAGAAGGACCCCAGAUUCAGUCAGUAGAGCGGGAGAUGGCUGGACUUCAAGGAGACAUCUGGACUUUAGGGAAGAGAUGGCCAGACUUCAGGGAAGAGACAGCCAGACUAUGGAAGAGAUGACCUGACUUUAAGGGAAGAUGACCUGCUCAUCCUGUCCCCUCUCCAGCUGCCCUCUCUGCUAAGAGACAUUUCCAUUGAUUAAUAAAACUCAUUUGUCUGCA